rnacentral:rRNA from 1 species
UUGUUAAAUGGAAUGAUGGUGACCUAAACCCUCACCAGAGUAACAAUUGGAGGGCAAGUCUGGUGCCAGCAGCCGCGGUAAUUCCAGCUCCAAUAGCGUAUAUUAAACUUGUUGCAGUUAAAAAGCUCGUAGUUGAAUUUCUGCGUUAUCGAGUUAUUGACUCUUGUCUUUAAUCGAUUUCGCUUUUGGGAUUUAUCCCUUUUUACUUUGAGAAAAUUAGAGUGUUUCAAGCAGACUUUUGUCUUGAAUACUUCAGCAUGGAAUAAUAGAGUAGGACUUUGGUUCUAUUUUGUUGGUUUUUGAACCUUAGUAAUGGUUAAUAGGAACGGUUGGGGGCAUUCGUAUUUAACUGUCAGAGGUGAAAUUCUUAGAUUUGUUAAAGACGAACUACUGCGAAAGCAUUUGCCAAGGACGUUUCCAUUAAUCAAGAACGAAAGUUAGGGGAUCGAAGACGAUCAGAUACCGUCGUAGUCCUAACCAUAAACUAA